CCCCCCGCCUCCGCCGUACCACCACUAAGAAGAUCCACCACUCUGUCAAGCUGGGAGCCCAGAAUGCGGUCGAGAAGAGUUGUGCGAGCAGGCCAAGAAGAGCCACGUACGGCGUCGUUGAUCCUCCUCCGGUGUGUGUUGCUGCCGAACUAGGGCCGAUCUCUCAGGAGAUGGAAUAAUGCAGAUGGCUCCCAUUAGUUUAUCUUACCAGCUUAUAUCAUCUGUGUUCGUCCAGUGUUAGCGUCUGUGUUGCUAGUGUGGCAAUGUGCCCGUGUCACUGUAAAACCAUUGAUCACCACGGAAAUGGAAGUAAAAGGUGUUGUUUCCUGUUGCAUGUAA